GCUCACGUAGCUCAGCGGAUAGAGCACUUGCCUCCGGAGCAAGGGGUCGCAGGUUCAAUUCCUGCCGUGGGCGCCA
rnacentral:tRNA from 3 species